rnacentral:rRNA from 1 species
GGACUGGCCCAGGGAGGUCGGCAACGACCACCCAGGGCCGGAAAGUUGGUCAAACUCGGUCAUUUAGAGGAAGUAAAAGUCGUAACAAGGUCUCCGUAGGUGAACCUGCGGAGGGAUCAUUA